rnacentral:rRNA from 1 species
UACGUAGGUGGCAAGCGUUGUCCGGAUUUAUUGGGUUUAAAGGGUGCGUAGGCGGCCCUGUAAGUCAGUGGUGAAAUGCUCUAGCUUAACUAGAGAGGUGCCAAUGAUACUGCAGGGCUUGAGUACAGAUGAGGUAGGCGGAAUUGACGGUGUAGCGGUGAAAUGCAUAGAUAUCGUCAAGAACACCUAUAGCGAAGGCAGCUUACUGGGCUGUAACUGACACUGAGGGACGAAAGCUAGGGGAGCGAAUGGG